rnacentral:rRNA from 1 species
AUUGAACGCUGGCGGAAUGCUUUACACAUGCAAGUCGAACGGCAGCCCGGGUGCUUGCACCUGGUGGCGAGUGGCGAACGGGUGAGUAAUACAUCGGAACGUACCCAGUCGUGGGGGAGAACGUAGCGAAAGUUACGCUAAUAACGCAUACGUCCUGAGGGAGAAAGCUGGGGACCGUAAGGCCUCGCGCGACUGGAGCGCCCGAUGUCUGAGUAGCUAGUUGGUGAGGUAUAGGCUCACCAAGGCGACGAUCAGUAGCUGGUCCGUGAGGAUGAUCAGACACACUGGAACUGAGACACGGUCCAGACUCCUACGGGAGGCAGCAGUGGGGAAUUUUGGACAAUGGGCGAAAGCCUGAUCCAGCCAUUCCGCGUGAGUGAAGAAGGCCUUCGGGUUGUAAAGCUCUUUCGGCAGGAACGAAACGCUCUAGAUUAAUACCCUGGGGUAAUGACGGUACCUGAAGAAGAAGCACCGGCUAACUACGUGCCAGCCGCCGCGGUAA